GGAAGGUUCAGUGGUAGAGCAUCUGCUUUGUGUGCAGAAAGUUCCAAGUUCAAUCCCCAGAAUCUCCA